rnacentral:lncRNA from 1 species
CUUGGGAACUAACAAGUUCCUGGUCACACUAGGACAAUACGUGCUCCUAUCCAGCUGGAACCUAAUUCUUGGCUCUAAUUCUGCCUCUCCCAACCCCAGAGUCCUGGAUGCCUGCUGUGGACAGGCACAUGGAUUGCACGACUCAUUUGACCCUGGGGGCUUCCCUUGGAGGGAGACUCCUGCUCAUGGGUGAGGACACGCUGUGGCCACAACUGCCUGGACUGCAGCCCAGUGAGAUGCUCAGCAGACGGCUCCUGAGCUGUGCCUGGACUUAGGACCUAGCAUCUCUGAGACAAUAGUCGUGGUACUUGAAGUGACCGAAGGUGUGGUCCCUUGUGAGCUUGGGCAUCUGGUAGGUGCAAGUGAGGACCUGGCUCUGCUCUCGCUCUGGAUGGCGUGGUAAGGCCGUUGACUCUGCCCCACCACAUUCAACUGGGUAUAAUGGCAGAGCCCUCCAGGGUUGAUGUUGAGAUGAAACGGGAAAUUUGUGGACAGUCCAGUGCAGUCCUGGUUCUGGGGACAGGAGUAGGCAUCUUGUAGUCACUGGAGCAAUGGUGGAGAAGCCAAGCCAGUUCUCUCCCUUCAAAGCCAGGUCAGCCCUGUGGAGGGCAGGCAGGGCCUGCCAGGUGUGAUCUGGCUGACUUGGGGCAGGAUGGCCUCUGUUACCUGGUCAGGAAGACACAUCACUCCCAUGUUUCUCCAAAUGUCAGCUCAGACCUAGUGCACACCCAGACUCACGGCCCACUGCUCUGGAUAUUGACCUGGCCCCUGACAUGGGACAAGAAGGAAACAGUUGGGUAGGAGAAAUGGCAGGUGACACUUUCCCAAGUAAGUCCAUGGAUUGAUUCACUUGAGAUAAGCCCUGGGGGCUAUGUCUCCAGGGUCACCUUCCUCUCAGGGUUGUCUCCCUGCCAGUGAGUAACUGUUGUAGGCACCUAGGGAUGGAAGUUAACUGCGGGAGGUCCCUCCUGAGGACAGGCUGAGCUCUGUCCCUGAAUCCCACACAUAUGGCUCCUUGUUGUAGCUCCUGGCCCGUGGCUGGCUGAUUUGAAGGCCCAUCUUCAGUGGAGCUCCCAGGGAUGGUGGGUGGAUGGGAAGCAGGAGCUCUUGCUUUCCUUUGACCUUUGUUCCAGAAGCUUGGGCAGGGCUGGCCUGUUU